UGCGAAGUAAUUAACCUACACUUUACCAAAAACUCUUGUCUGCAAACAGACGUCGCCCUUCCCAUGCUCAUCUUCUUCUGAUCUUUGUACUUUGGCGGAUUACUCUGGUGAAUUGGAGAUGAAAGUAGAAGAAAAAGGAGACCUACAAGUCGAAAGCGUGCGCGGGAGCAGUGAAUGAGAGAAGCUGGCGAUAGGCUGGUGACGCAAGGCAAAGGCCAAGCAGAACCAUGCGUUAGGCUGGCGACGCUAGGCUUGGAGCCAGGUUCAUCAGGCGUUAGGCUGGCGACGCCAGGCCUGGGGCCAGGUCCAAUCCGAGUUUUGAAUACUUAAUUCGUUUCCGAGUUUGACUAGGACUUGGCCUACACGUUUAGGUCUUUUCCUACACCUAUAAAUAGACCUAAAAAUGCCACUUGAAGGGACUUUUGCAACCGGAGGCAAGAAUAGCUUGUGGAAUCACCCGUUGGGAGUUAGAAUCAUCGAUUUCUACAUCCUUUCAUCUUUACUUUGUACUUUAAUUAUGCAACAUACUUUGGAUAUUGUUACUUUGA